rnacentral:rRNA from 1 species
GUUUCAAAUUUGAAAUCUGGUCCCUAGGGCCCGAGUUGUAAUUUGUAGAGGAUGCUUUUGGUGAGGUGCCGCCCGAGUUCCCUGGAACGGGACGCCACAGAGGGUGAGAGCCCCGUCUGGCUGGCCGCCGAGCCUCUGUAAAGCUCCUUCGACGAGUCGAGUAGUUUGGGAAUGCUGCUCAAAAUGGGAGGUAUAUGUCUUCUAAAGCUAAAUAUUGGCCAGAGACCGAUAGCGCACAAGUAGAGUGAUCGAAAGAUGAAAAGCACCUUGAAAAGAGGGUUAAAUAGUACGUGAAAUUGUUGAAAGGGAAGCGCUUGUGACCAGACUUGGGCGCGGCGGAUCAUCCGGGGUUCUCUCCGGUGCACUUCGCCGCGUCUAGGCCAGCAUCAGUUCGUCGCGGGGGAAAAAGGCUUCGGGAACGUGGCUCCUCCGGGAGUGUUAUAGCCCGUUGCAUAAUACCCUGCGGUGGACUGAGGACCGCGCAUCUGCAAGGAUGCUGGCGUAAUGGUCACCAGCGACCCGUCUUGAAACACGGACCAAGGAGUCGUCUUCGUAUGCGAGUGUUCGGGUGUCAAACCCCUACGCGUAAUGAAAGUGAACGCAGGUGAGAGCUUCGGCGCAUCAUCGACCGAUCCUGAUGUUCUCGGAUGGAUUUGAGUAAGAGCAUACGGGGCCGGACCCGAAAGAAGGUGAACUAUGCCCUGUAUAGGGGUGAAGCCAGAGGAAACUCUGGUGGAGGCUCGCAGCGGGUUCUGACGUGCAAAAUCGAUCGUCAAAAUAUGGGCAUGGGGGGCGAAAAGACUAAUCGAACCUUCUAGUUAGCUGGUUUUCCGCCGAAAGUUUCCUUCAAGAAGU